AUGCCUCCAAUCAAUGCAUGGUUUGACAAAUUUGAGGACAAAUUCUGUUAGGACAGUGAGCAUGACACUGUUGUGAGAAGGGUGUGGGAAAAUCACGCGGCAACUAGGUUGCGUGAUUUUUGGUAUAAAGCACAACAAAAGGGUAAAAAAAACUGUGAAAGAUAAGGGUUUCUAAGGCUGGAACGAUAUUGCGGUUU